AAAACACACCCUUUUCAUCAAAGAAAAACCAAGAAGUGCCAUGUCCUAGGGUUUGGCUGCCAAAAUUUCUCUGCGAAUGCUGCAAAGGUUAUUAAACAUGGUUAAGAUUGACUUGAUUUUUUUACUAUGGUGAUAACUGGAUGAGGGAGCCACAACUUAUAUAUUCUAGAAAGCUUAUUCACACUUGGAAAGGUUAUGAUGUUGAUCUCUUAUCUUUUAUAGAUAUGGUUAAUGAAUACAUGAACAAGUUAGGGUAUGUUGGAGUUCAAUAAUUGAUAGUGAUUGGCCAUUCUGUGAAAUAUUAUGAAAUAUUAGGAGAUGAGGGUAUUAGGACAUUAUUACAACUUGUGAAUGACUAGUUUAAUAUUAUUGACUUGUUUGCUGUAGAGGAUAAUGAAUUAUCUGUUGAUGAUCAAAAUAUAGUGCAUCACACCGAGUCAUACUUGGUAGUAGAUGAAGCAGCUAGUGAUUGCAGUUCAAAUAGUAGUAAUUCUAAUAGUGAAGAUGACACAAAUGAUAGUGACUGUAAUAGUAAAGAUGCUUCAGGUUAUGAUUCUGAUAGGUUGGAGGCAAUAGCAAAAGAAAGAAAGAGGGUAGUUGCUGAUAGGUUGGUUGAGUACAAGGACAUAGACAAGUCCAUGAUAUUCAAAGAUAUACCUGAAGCUAGGAAAUUCAUGAACUUGUAUGCCCUUGCCAAUGAUUAUGAUUUAACACUAGUUAAAAGUGACACAAUAAGGGUCAGAUAUGUAUGUGAGGAUGAUGAACGCCCUUAUGUCUGCCUAAUUUCUAAAGAUAAGAGGAAUAUAGGUGUUAAGGUCAAGACACUAAAAGCUAAACAUGAGUAUAAUCAUGCAUUUGAUAACCAUAGGGUUGAUGCUACUAUUAUUGCACACUAUUUCAAGAAGAAGUUGCAGGAAUCCCCAAAAUAUAAGAUUAAAGAGAUGAAAACAGAUCUAAAAAUAACUUUUAACAUCAAUGCUUCAUUUCAAAGUGCAAGAGAGCCAAAAGAAUGAUAUUGGAGAAUCUGGAAGUAGCUUUACUGAUGAAUAUAACAAACUUGAUGCCUAUGCCAAUGCCUUGAGGCAGAGUAAUAUAGGAAGUGAUAUCAUUAUUAAUAUUUCAAAAGAUGCCCUUACUGAAGGCAAAAGAAGAUUUUUGAGGAUGUAUAUUUGCUCUGAAGCAAUGAAGAAGGGUUUAAGGGAGGGUUGAGACUUUUCAUUGGCUUGGAUGAGACCUUUUUAAAAGGAAAAGCCAAAGGUCAACUCUUAGUUGCUGUAGCUCAAGAUGCUAUGAACCACUUUUAUCCACUUGUUUGGGUUGUUGUAGAUAAGGAAACAAAAGUCACCUGGAAUAGGUUCUUGAGUUUGCUUCAGAAGUCUUUAGACCUCAACAAUAGAGAGGGAGUCACAUUUAUAUCAGACAAGCAAAAGGGUCUACUUGAUGCAGUCCAAUCUAUCUUACCUGAGGCCCGCCAUAGAUAUUGUGUGAGACACAUAGUAUGCAAUUGGAGCAAAAAGGACAUGGGUCUGGAGAAAUGACAAAGCUGGUUUGGUGGUGUGCAUGGAGCAGUUAUGAGGAGGAAUUAAAUGAUCCUUUGAAGACAUUGGGAGAGAUGUCUGAGGAAAGGGUGGAAGAUUUACUGCACUAUCCAGUCAAGUGUUGGUGCAGGGCUCACUUUGAUACAGUGUGCAAGAACCAGAAGGUAGAAUACUUGCGGAUUGCUCGCAAGUGUACAUUUGAUUUCAAUGGUGAGCAUGGGUAUGAGGUGAGUGAAGGGAGUGACAAGUUCAUAGUCAGCUUGGAAACACAAAAAUGCACUUGCAGGACAUGGGACCUUACUGGAACCCCAUGUCCCCAUGCCAUCAGAGCAAUAUUAUACAAGAAGGGCAACUCAUUGGAUGGAAUUCACUGGUGGUACAAUAAGGAAGCUUAUCUCCUAACUUAUAGACACAAGUUACAACAAGUUCCAGGGCAAAAGUUCUGGAAAAAUGACCCAUCACAGGCAAUGGAUCCACCUUUAUUAGUGAAGUUGGCUGACAGACCUAAAAUAAAGUGAAUUAGAGAUAAAAAAGUAAAGAGGCAAGGAGAAUGGUUUGCUCCUAGGAAAGGCAGGGUUAUGUCAUGUUCAACCUGUGGAGAGCCUGGUCACAAUGCUAGGGGUUGUAAUAAGUUGUCAAAUAAUGUAGAAUAUGGACAGUCAUCUAUGGGUGAACAUCAUAAGAAGAAAAAGCAAUCAAACAAGGGAAGAAAACCAAUGAAGAGGCAAAGAACAUUACUUGAUGAAGAUGAAGGAGAUGAAGUUCCCAGAUCCCCAACUGCAGCAACAAUCGAAGAACUACCAUUGUCAGCACCACAGUCCAGACAAAUUAGUCAAGCAAGUGAAGCUAGACAAUUUAUAUUUAUGCCAACACCAAAGGUGCAUAUGCAACAAUAAUGAAGUUCCUGAUUUUGAGAUUCCAAGCUUCGAAUUUGAAGAAGACCCAGCUAUAAGGCCAAGAAGUGUUUCAGAGGUAAAGUCUAGACUCCAAUAGAGGCAGAAACAACCAAUAUCAAGUGGAACAAGAAUAAUUAAAUUUGUUGGUGAUGGUGCUAUAACUAGCAAGCAGUUGGAGAAACAAAAAACGGACAAGCUAAAGGCAAGAAAGGGCAAUGGAAAAGCACAACAAUGAAGGUUGUUUGUUUUUGAUGAUACCUGGAAGCUAUAAUGAAUGAUGGUGGCAGUAGGAUUAGUAAAAACUUUAGUUUUUGUUCUUAGAUAUUCAUGGUGGCAUUAGGAUGUCUUGUUAUCACUUUUGGUGGUAUGUUUUGUGAUUAUAAUAUGGCAUCCCUUUGUCUAAUGUAAUGCACACCUUGACAGUUGGUUUAUGUGUUGGUAACAACUUAUAUGUAUGUUGAUCGUGCUUGUGUUUGGUUAAUAUAUGAAGGAUAUCAUUU